AUUGAACGCUGGCGGCAUGCUUUACACAUGCAAGUCGAACGGCAGCACGGACUUCGGUCUGGUGGCGAGUGGCGAACGGGUGAGUAAUACAUCGGAACGUACCCAGUAAUGGGGGAUAACUAUCCGAAAGGAUAGCUAAUACCGCAUACGCCCUACGGGGGAAAGAGGGGGAUCGCAAGACCUCUUGUUAUUGGAGCGGCCGAUGGCUGAUUAGCUAGUUGGUGAGGUAAAGGCUCACCAAGGCGACGAUCAGUAGCGGGUCUUAGAGGACGAUCCGCCACACUGGAACUGAGACACGGUCCAGACGCCUACGGGAGGCAGCAGUGGGGAAUCUUGGACAAUGGGCGCAAGCCUGAUCCAGCAAUGCCGCGUGCGUGAAGAAGGCCUUCGGGUUGUAAAGCGCUUUUGUCAGGGAGCAAAUCCUUGUGGCUAAUGCCCACCGGGGAUGAGAGUACCUGAAGAAUAAGGACCGGCUAACUACGUGCCAGCAGCCGCAGUAA
rnacentral:rRNA from 1 species